rnacentral:lncRNA from 1 species
AUGAUCUGUACGUUCCCCCUAGAAACCAGAAAACGCUGCCUUCCUUCCCUGCCCUGCUGGCAACUUGGGAUCAAGCAGAACGAAACAACAAGCCCUAACAGCUCAGGUCCCAAUGCCUCCUGCAGGCGGGUCUCUGGCAGGAAAAGGCGGGGAGGGGAAGCGGCGCCACCCAGGAGGCGGCCCUGCGGCUGGCAGCGGCUGGAAGCGGAGGCCCAUGCUGGCGCAGACGCUGCGCGCGGGGGUCCUGGGGCUCUCCGUCCUGCUGCUGGCGGCCGAGUGGAGCGCGCCUCAGUGCGGGGAAGCUGGGGACCGGGCGCCUCUCAUGCUCACCCUUCCAACACCCCAACCCGCCCACAUGCCCCGGGACGAGCCUGCCAUCCUUGCAGGAGCAGGCAGCCUGUCUAUGGCUGGGCACAGGGCUGCGCGCCAGUGCGUGCACGGCCACCCCACCCACCGGCUGAGCACCUCAGCCCAGUCCUUCGUGGAUCCCCCCGGGUGCAUGAUCCUCCUGAGGAGCCGUCUUUCGGCCCAUGGAUGCAUGCUUCCCUGUGCAUGAGACCCCCACGGAUGCACGAUCGCCCCGCGAAUGCACCAUCCUCCGUGAAUCCAUGGUCCCCGGAAGGAUGCAUCAUGCUCUCCUGGAGCCUGGGCAUGCGUAGCACCCCCUUCCCUGCAGAAAGGCCUCCUGGAAUCAGCCAAGUGCUGCUAGUGCGAUACUUGCUGAACGCCAGCGUGGGUGCGCUCUGCUCUCCCACCACCGCGGCCGGCCUGGGGGUCUCGGCGACGGGCCCACGGUCCAACCUGCAUUCACCAUGCGGGGCCUCUGCUUCGUGCUCCUGACCUGCUUCAUCUUCUUUGCUUACUUUGCCACAGCCCAGGUCAUGGAGAUAGACUCAGAAGAGGAGUGCAAGCAGGUUGGUGCCCAGUGUAAAUGGUUUUCUUGCCCAGAUGAUCAUGCACGUCUUGGUACCUGUUGGUUUGGGAUAAAGAAAUGCUGUCGGUAGCUGGGAUGAGCUGAAGAACACAGAGGACAAGGAGCCCAGAGACUGAAAUAAAGGGCUGACUAUAACUCUGAAAGUGCUGUGG